rfam:Myotis davidii contig178758, whole genome shotgun sequence.
GCCGGUGUGGCUCACUGGGUAGAGCGUCGGCCUGGGAACUGAAGGGUCCCAGGUUCGAUUCCGGUCAAGGGCA